AGAGGUCUGCAAGCGUUUGUUCGGAUUCAUUGGGCGUAAAGGGUGCGUAGGCGGCGCGGUAAGUCGGGUGUGAAAUCUCGGAGCUUAACUUCGAAACUGCAUUCGAUACUGCCGCGCUUGAGGACUGGAGAGGAGACUGGAAUUUACGGUGUAGCGGUGAAAUGCGUAGAUAUCGUAAGGAAGACCAGUGGCGAAGGCGGGUCUCUGGACAGUUCCUGACGCUGAGGCACGAAGGUCAGGGGAGCAAACGGG
rnacentral:rRNA from 1 species